AAUUCCCUGUUUUGCUUUUAGGUUGGAGACUACAUAAGACUUUGACAGUUGGCGGGAAACCAUCAUCAACUGGAGAGAUGCCGGUAAAAAGAUGGCCAUAAAACAGUGACCGCUGAUUCGCAUUGAGUUCUUUCUUACAUAUUGGAUGACCUAUGUUUUUUAUUGUUUAAAUCAUUGCGGCUUGGAAUGCUCUUUAAGAAAAGGAAGAGGAAUGUCUGCGACUAAGUCAAGGGCCACUGGAUAAGGGUUGUUGAUGGCAAAACAGGUUGGAGACUACAUAAGACUUUGACAGUUGGCGGGAAACCAUCAUCAACUGGAGAGAUGCCGGUAAAAAGAUGGCCAUAAAACAGUGACCGCUGAUUCGCAUUGAGUUCUUUCUUACAUAUUGGAUGACCUAUGUUUUUUAUUGUUUAAAUCAUUGCGGCUUGGAAUGCUCUUUAAGAAAAGGGAUGGUUAUGGGGGUGUCU